GUCCCCAGCUUUCCGACCACCUGACCUGUCCUCCAUCUGACAGUCUUCCAGCCUGGCCAGGAGCAGCCCCAGCCCAGGCACCUGCCCGGGCCUGGCCUCCUCAGGGGUGAGGACAGGGGCCGCAGAGGCAGCUCCAGCUGUGGAAGCAACAGGGAGACAGGCCAGGGAAGGGGCUGAGCCGCAGCUACUGCACAGGGGGGCCAGGGCCACUGC
rnacentral:lncRNA from 1 species